UGAUAGUCAGCGGCGAACGCCUCCGCUUC
rnacentral:sRNA from 1 species